CCCUUAGAUGUUCUGGGCCGCACGCGCGCUACACUGACUACUUCAACGAGUUGUUUCCUUGAUCGAAAGGUCUGGGUAAUCUUUGAAAGGUAGUCGUGAUGGGGAUAGAUCCUUGCAAUUUUUGAUCUUCAACGAGGAAUUCCUAGUAAACGCAAGUCAUCAGCUUGCAUUGAUUACGUCCCUGCCCUUUGUACACACCGCCCGUCGCACCUACCGAUUGAAUGGUCCGGUGAAUCUUUAGGACUGUGGCUGAGGCCUUGCCUUGUGCGGGUCUGGCCGUGGGAAUUUAGUUAAACCUUACCAUUUAGAGGAAGUAAAAGUCGUAACA
rnacentral:rRNA from 1 species